CGGCUGGUGCCGCAGCUGUACAGGUGCCCGCAGGGGCUCGUCUGGGACGAAGGCCGCUACGAAUGUGGUCUCCAGUUUUAGUGUCAUCUGGAAAUAACUGACGACUGAUUGGCGCCAUUGGCAAGAAAUGUACAAAGCUACAUCAUCAUUUGUCAUAUCUUUCCUCUAGAACGCAGAAUUCAUUUAGAACGUUUAUAUGUGCAGUAACACUGCCAGUAACACGUGUAAGAAGAUACACGGACAUAAAAUAAGACUUUCAUCACAGAAUGGUCCUCGCUUUACAAAACAAAUAUGACUCCGUUUCCCGUCAUCUCAAAGAUAUUCAUAUCAUCAGAAGAAACAAUACAACUGCAAACUUGUAUUAUAACUGUAAUCAACAUUUCUGAUAAAAUAGAGAAACAUAUACCAA